GGUCUGUCCACCCGCCUAAAACGCUUGGUGUUAGCAAGGGCCGGGCAAGACCGGUGCCAGCCGCCGCGGUAAUACCGGCGGCUCGAGUGGUGGCCGAUAUUAUUGAGUCUAAAGGGUCCGUAGCCGGCUUUGCAAGUCUCUCGGGAAAUCCAGCGGCUUAACCGUUGGGCGUCUGGGGGCUACUACAUUGCUUGGGACUGGGAGAGGCGAGAGGUACUCAGGGGGUAGGAGUGAAAUCCUGUAAUCCUUUGGGGACCACCGGUGGCGAAGGCGUCUCGCCAGAACAGGUCCGACGGUGAGGGACGAAAGCUAGGGGCACGAACCGGAUUAGAUACCCGGGUAGUCCUAGCCGUAAACGAUGCUCGCUAGGUGUCACAACAGUCGUGAACUGUUGUGGUGCCGUAGGGAAGCCGUGAAGCGAGCCACUUGGGAAGUACGACCGCAAGGUUGAAACUUAAAGGAAUUGGCGGGGGAGCACCACAACGGGUGGAGCCUGCGGUUUAAUUGGACUCAACGCCGGGAAGCUUACCGGGAUCGACAGUUGUAUGAAGGCCAGGCUGAAGACCUUGCCGGACUAUCUGAGAGGAGGUGCAUGGCC
rnacentral:rRNA from 1 species